CCUACGGGUGGCAGCAGUGGGGAAUAUUGCACAAUGGGGGAAACCCUGAUGCAGCGACGCCGCGUGAGUGAAGAAGUAUCUCGGUAUGUAAAGCUCUAUUAGCAGGGAAGUAAAUGUCGGUACCUGACUUAGACGCACCGGCUAACUCCGUGCCAGCAGCCGCGGUAAUACGUAGGGGGCAAGCGUUAUCCGGAUUUACUGGGCUUAAAGGGAGCGUAGGCGGUAGCACAAGUGUGAAGUGAAAUCUCGGGGCUUAACCCCGGAACUGCCUUGAAAACUGUGGGGCUAGAGUGCAGGAGGGGUAGGCGGAAUGCAUGGUGUAGCGGUGAAAUGCGUAGAUAUUAGACAGAACACCGAUGGCGAAGGCAGCUUACUGGUCUAUAACUGACGUUGAGGCACGAAAGCGUGGGGAGCAAACAGGAUUAGAUACCCUUGUAGUC
rnacentral:rRNA from 1 species